rnacentral:tRNA from 1 species
UAUCUCGUAGCUCAGCUGGUUAGAGCACACGUUUGAUAAGCGUAUGGUCAUUGGUUCAAAUCCAAUCGAGCUUA